CCUACGGGUGGCAGCAGUCGGGAAUAUUGCGCAAUGGAGGAAACUCUGACGCAGUGACGCCGCGUGCAGGAAGAAGGUCUUCGGAUUGUAAACUGCUUUAGACAGGGAAGAAAAACGUCAGUAUCUGUCGAUUACGCUUCGGCUAACUACGCGCCAGCAGCCGCGGGAAUCCGGAGGGCGCAAGCGUUAUCCGGAAUUAUUGGGUGUAAAGGGUGCGUAGGCGGGGAGUCAAGUUAGAUGUGAAAUCCCUGGGCUUAACCGGGGAACUGCAACUAAAACUACUAAGCGUGAGUACUGGAGAGGGAGGUAGAAUUCCUGGUGUAGCGGUGAAAUGUGUAGAUAUUUGGAGGAACACCAGUGGCGAAGGCGACUUUCUGGACAGUAACUGACGUUGAGGCGCGAAAGUGUGGGGAGCAAACAGGAUUAGAUACCCUUGUAGUC
rnacentral:rRNA from 1 species